UACGGAGGGUGCAAGCGUUGUUCGGAAUUACUGGGCGUAAAGCGCGUGUAGGCGGCUCUCUAAGUCUGGUGUGAAAGCCCGGGGCUUACCCCCGGAAGUGCACUGGAUACUGGAGAGCUGGAGUACCGGAGAGGAGGGUGGAAUUCCUGGUGUAGCGGUGAAAUGCGUAGAUAUCAGGAAGAACACCGGUGGCGAAGGCGGCCCUCUGGACGGAUACUGACGCUGAGACGCGAAAGCGUGGGGAGCAAACAGG
rnacentral:rRNA from 1 species